rnacentral:tRNA from 1 species
GCAUCGGCGGUUCAGUUCAGGUACAAUGCUCGCCUGCCACGCGGGCAGCCCGGGUUCAAUUCUCGGCCGAUGCA